CCUCUCGAUUCGCCGGCGGCGCCACCAACCAGCAAGGAGGCACAACUUGAUGGCAAUGUAGUCACAGAUUUGCCAAGUGAUCCUAUAUUGCACAACAUGAGAACUCGAAGGGUUCAAGCUGCCAGCAUGGGCAUAUCAGAAUCAAGACAAAAGCAAGUCUACCUUAUUUCACUGAUAAACAAAGGCAGAGUUGUGGCCAAAGGGAAGUUAGUGACUACAGAUAGCCAAAGAUAAAUAUUAGGAGCAAAGCUUGGACCAGAAUAUUGUGGGGUUCUUGUUGAAGGCCUUGAAAAUAUUGAACUAGGCAAUAUUACAAAUGAGGAGGUACCUAGACCAUCUAAUCAGAUUCGUACACUAAUUGAUGCUAUUGGCUAUGUUAUUCCUUGGCCAAUUACACAUGUGAAGCAAGCUAGAAGCUCAUCUUGUACCCGCAACAAGUUGGUACCUGCAGCACGUGGACAAAGCUAGAUGGGAAGCCUAGUAUAAUUGCAAAGUGAAUCAAUUAGAUUCUAGUAGUUACUAAAAUUUUUAAGUGAUAUUUGUAUGAUAUUGCCACUUUGGCUUUGCUUCUUUGUGAACACAAUUGGCAGUUACUGAACAUGUUUGCUAUCGAGUUAGUUAGCUUCUUGAUAUUUUGCCAAGGCCAAAAGCAAUAUUAUUGAGGGUUUAUAAUUUGAUUUUUUAACAUU